rnacentral:rRNA from 1 species
GACGAACGCUGGCGGCGUGCCUAAUACAUGCAAGUAGAACGCUGAAGGAGGAGCUUGCUUCUCUGGAUGAGUUGCGAACGGGUGAGUAACGCGUAGGUAACCUGCCUGGUAGCGGGGGAUAACUAUUGGAAACGAUAGCUAAUACCGCAUAAGAGUAGAUGUUGCAUGACAUUUGCUUAAACGGUGCAAUUGCAUCACUACCAGAUGGACCUGCGUUGUAUUAGCUAGUUGGUGGGGUAACGGCUCACCAAGGCGACGAUACAUAGCCGACCUGAGAGGGUGAUCGGCCACACUGGGACUGAGACACGGCCCAGACUCCUACGGGAGGCAGCAGUAGGGAAUCUUCGGCAAUGGACGGAAGUCUGACCGAGCAACGCCGCGUGAGUGAAGAAGGUUUUCGGAUCGUAAAGCUCUGUUGUAAGAGAAGAACGAGUGUGAGAGUGGAAAGUUCACACUGUGACGGUAUCUUACCAGAAAGGGACGGCUAACUACGUG